rnacentral:other from 1 species
GCGUCCCUACUGUGUACGUGAUAACAGCUAUGUUUUGACCCAACAGCAACAACAAAGGGAGCCUGGACUCUACAUGUGGCACAUAUGCCUCACGAAGGACAUGUAAAGCAUGUAGGAGGGCACCCACCUGAAGUGAAUCAGGUUCAAAACAUGGUAGUACACGGCACAGCGGGGACUUU